rnacentral:rRNA from 1 species
UACAGAGGGGGCAAGCGUUGUCCGGAUUUACUGGGCGUACAGCGCGCGCAGGCGGUUGUGUAUGUGAGCGGUGACAUCCGCGGGCUCAACCCGCGGCGGCCCGCUUACACAGCGCGACUGGAGGCAGGGAGAGGGAUGUGGAAUACCCGGUGGAGCGGUGAAAUGCGUAGAGAUCGGGUGGAACACCAGCGGCGAAGGCGGCAUCCUGGCCCUGUACUGACGCUGAGGCGCGACAGCGUGGGGAGCAAACAGG